rnacentral:rRNA from 1 species
AGAAUCAACGCUGGCGGCGUGCCUAACACAUGCAAGUCGAACGAGAAAGUGGAGCAAUCCAUGAGUAAAGUGGCGACCGGGUGAGUAACACGCGACUAACCUACCUUCGAGUGGGGGAUAACCUCGGGAAACCGAGGCUAAUACCGCAUAACAUCGCAAGAUCAAAGCAGCAAUGCGCUGGAAGAGGGGGUCGCGGCUGAUUAGCUAGUUGGCGGGGUAAUGGCCCACCAAGGCGAAGAUCGGUA